rnacentral:lncRNA from 1 species
AUUGAGGUUCAGAGAGAGUGAGGGUUGUCCAAGGUCAUACAAGUCCAUGGAGCAACCUGAGCUCUGAGCCCUUAAAAAUUAUGCCAAGUUACACUUGACUGUAUAGUCAAAGCUAUGGUUUUUCCAGUAGUCCUGUACAGAUGUGAGAGCUAGACCAUAAAGAAGGCUGAGCGCCAAAGAAUUGAUGCUUUUGAACUGUAGUACUGGAGAAGAAUCUUGAGAGCCCCUUGGAAAGCAAGGAGAUCAAACCAGUCAAUCCUAAAGAAAAUCAACCCUGAAUAUUCAUUGUAAGGAUGGAUGCUGAAGCAGAAGCUCCAAUACUUUGGCCACCUGAUGCCAAGAGCCUACUCAUUGGAAAAGACCCUGGUGCUUCCUUCUCCAAGACAGCAGGGAUUUGGGAGAAGCAUUUGGCGUCUUCAGAGUGUUUUGGAUGGAGUUGCGUAAGACCGUCUUCCCAGGACUGAGCUUUUGAGCCAUCACGUAUCCUCCAUGGAGUGGUAUGUGUCCCAUCUUCUCUUCAGACUUGGGGUGGCCCUCUUCCAACUUCUGCACCUUCUUCAAGGCCCUGUUAAGGCUCCUCUUUCUCUACGAAGCCCACCCUGCUAGCCCCACCCUCUGUUUUUCCUUUCC